rnacentral:rRNA from 1 species
ACUCCUACGGGAGGCAGCAGUUGGGAAUAUUGGACAAUGGGCGAAAGCCUGAUCCAGCGACACCGCGUGGAGGAAGACGGCCCUCGGGUUGUAAACUCCUUUUCUGGGGGACGAUUGUGACGGUACCCCAGGAAUAAGCACUGGCUAACUACGUGCCAGAAGCCUCGGUAAUACGUAGAGUGCAAGCGUUAUCCGGAAUUAUUGGGCGUAAAGGGUCCGUAGGCGGUUUUGUUCGUUUCCUGUUAAAACUUCAGGCUCAACUUGAAGCUUGCAGGAAAGACAGCAAAACUAGAGUUUAACAGGGGUCAGCGGAAUUGGCGGUGUAGCAGUGAAAUGCGUUGAUAUCGCCAGGAACACCAAUGGCGAAGGCAGCUGACUAGGUUAUUACUGACGCUAAGGGACGAAAGCGUGGGGAGCGAACGGGAUUAGAUACCCUGGUAGGCUCUGCU